GUAACGUGGGUAGAUCACCUUAUAAUGGUGCGUUACGGCGUAAGAUCUACCAUAACCAAUUUUGGUUUCGUAAUUCUCCAGCAUAGUUAAUUUAAAUGCAGGAGAAUUAUAAAAUCAAAAUUUGGAUUACUUUUCUUUUUCUGUGUUUUGUUUUAUAUUUGUAUUUCGUUUUUUCACUACUAAUAUACCAUUUGUUUCAGUGUUAUCUGCUUGAUUUUAACUUCAACUUUAAUAAAAUAACGAUUUGUUUCAGCGCUGUUCAGGUAAAAUCAGGUAAUUGGUCAACUAUAUAAUUAAAUAUAUUUAAAUUACAUGACACUUGGGAUAUUGGGAGGGGUAGCCUAAGGAAGCUAAAUGAACUGGUUUCUGGACAAAUGUUCGUGGGGUGGCCAGCCUUUGUCACGAGAUAACAACCAUCGUGUUGACUUCCGAAGGUCUCCAGUAAAUUUAGCUUACCCUGCUACAACAAACCAUCAGGUAGAUCAUUCCCUUCCGGUAUGACUCUGCAGCCAUAGGUAAUCCUUGCGCUGAUGGUGGGUACACAAUCAUCAUCAUCAUCAUCAUCA